AUAAACGCUGGCGGCGUGCCUAACACAUGCAAGUCGAACGCCCUUUUGCGCAAGUGAGAGGGAGUGGCGGACGGGUGAGUAACACGUGGGUACCUACCUUGAGGUGAGGAAUACCACCGAGAAAUCGGUGACAAGACCGCAUACGCUUGGCAACAAGCAAAGUCUCGCAAGAGACGCCACAAGAUGGGCCUGCGCCUGAUUAGCUAGUUGGUGAGGUAACAGCNCACCAAGCGACGAUCAGUAGCUGGUCUGAGAGGAUGAUCAGCCACACUGGGAUUGAGAACGGCCCAGACUCC
rnacentral:rRNA from 1 species